rnacentral:rRNA from 1 species
GAUGAACGCUGGCGGCGUGCCUAAUACAUGCAAGUCGAGCGAACAGAAGAGGAGCUUGCUCCUCAGACGUUAGCGGCGGACGGGUGAGUAACACGUGGAUAACCUACCUAUAAGACUGGGAUAACUUCGGGAAACCGGAGCUAAUACCGGAUAAUAUAUUGAACCGCAUGGUUCAAUAGUGAAAGACGGUUUUGCUGUCACUUAUAGAUGGAUCCGCGCCGCAUUAGCUAGUUGGUAAGGUAACGGCUUACCAAGGCAACGAUGCGUAGCCGACCUGAGAGGGUGAUCGGCCACACUGGAACUGAGACACGGUCCAGACUCCUACGGGAGGCAGCAGUAGGGAAUCUUCCGCAAUGGGCGAAAGCCUGACGGAGCAACGCCGCGUGAGUGAUGAAGGUCUUCGGAUCGUAAAACUCUGUUAUUAGGGAAGAACAAAUGUGUAAGUAACUAUGCACGUCUUGACGGUACCUAAUCAGAAAGCCACGGCUAACUACGUG